UUGUUCCUGGGGAGUCUCAUUCAGCUUCUUAGAAGUAGUGUUUUUCUAUUUCUCUUUAGGACAGAAUUUCUGUGAGCAAUUUCCUCUGCAUCACAACACAAACCAGUUUCUGUGGCUUCCCACUCACAAAUAGCACAACAAAGCCAGAAAUACAAGUCUUUUAUGAUGAAGAGGGGAUUGGCCAGACUUCAACCACAACUCACGUAAUUUCAUUUACAGAAGACCUACUCAUCAUUGUCUUUUAGUCAGAAGAGGCCUCAAAGCAUGGGCAGUAACAAGCACUGGGAGACCAGGUGAAGGCAUCUUGGAAGUGCUUCUCUGAGGGCCAAGUCUUCCAUCAUCUGUACAGACAGGUUUAGAAAUAUGAAAACCUUUUGAAUCGAGGCUGCAGGAGGUUAAGAAGAAUAUUUGAACAUCAGAAGAGACAAAAAUUAUUAUGCUAACAUAUUCCAGCACAAGAGAAAAACCAAACCAGGAAGAUAAUGAUGUGAUUCAGACAGAGAAGCUAGCAUGGGACAACAGGAUUGUGAUGGCUCCUUUAUGAUUGUUCAGCUUUAAUUUGUAACAAGGCCAUAUAGCUACAACAUCCCACUGGGCUGUUCUGCAGCAGCAAUUGUUCCCAGAUGCAGAACAACUAUUGCCUGCAUUCCACUCCCACCGCAUGGCGAGGGGUGGAACGUGUUACAGUGAAAACAUUAUUUGCUGAUGUACCUCAAGUCCUUUCCUGUGAGGCACUGGUACCCCACAAUCUGUCCUUUGGUCUGCAGAGGAGCCCAGUAUCACCUCCUGGAUUGGUACAUCUGGUUUUGUCUCAUGUUGAAGUAUAUUCCAGAACAACAAGGACCUUACCCCAAUGUAAGAAGGAUCUCCAGCCAGUCUCCUUCACUGGGACAGCAGACAAUGGAAGAAUAAAGGUCUGUGGCUGCCAGAUAUCAGCCUGUCUAGGGAUUUCAAGAUUAAAAAAUUAAAGUUAAUAACUUUCAAAAAACACUCAGCCAGAGACCAAGUCAGAAUACACAGCGAAAAGCAGCAUGACAGCCUGGUCAGCACUGUUUCAGGUACCAUUAUAAAGAUGUUAAACUGGGGAGGGGCAGAUUCCCUGUGGAAAGCUCUGGCUUUCAGCUUUAAAGAAAAGCAGGGUUCACCAUUAGAUACAAUUAGCAAGCUGGGUACCAUGCCUCUGUAUUGCACAGGUCUGAACAGCCGCACUGGAGGACUGUCUGUUUUCCUCACCACACUCUGGCUGCUCUGACGUUUCAGAUAAGCAGCCAGGUGAUGACAGCUCACAGGGAAGAUUUUUCUUAAGACAUUUUCUUGCCUUUAACAUUUUUUUAAAAAGGUUUCUUUAUUCCCAUGGGGAUUAAUACUUUUAUUCUAUUAUGGCUGUAUAAUAAGGAUUACAUGGCAUCCCUGGUAUUAGUGCUGAGUAGUCAAGUUAUCCUCAUAGGUUAAAAGCAAAACAUACAAUUAGCAGCAGAUUAAAAGUAUAUGAUUAAAUACGCAUUUUAGUCAUUAAAUAUAAGCUGUUCAUUCUGACUGGAUGAUCAGAUGUGAUUACCCGCACCUCCUGGCUAUUAUAAAUAUUAGUUGUGCACUACAUAUUAAAAAGAAAUUUCUUUAGAUUUCUCUCCUGGGUCCUUAAUUAGACUUAGAGCCUGCUUGCAAAUUUGUGUGGAUCUCUAUGCCGAUCAUAUCACAUCACAUUUUGAAUCGUAGCGUUUCUGGGGUUAGUUUUAAAAUAUUUAACAGAUCUCAGCCUGUAAUCAAACUCUGUUAGAUGGUGAUGCCUUUUCCCACAAGCAAGGUAGGGAAAGAGGGUUUCUAAGGAGCCCCUGGGGACUCUCCGGGGCCAGGGAAGCUCUGUGAAU